AAAACGACUCUCGGCAACGGAUAUCUAGGCUCUCGCAUCGAUGAAGAACGUAGCAAAAUGCGAUACUUGGUGUGAAUUGCAGAAUCCCGUGAACCAUCGAGUUUUUGAACGCAAGUUGCGCCCGAAGCCAUUAGGCUAAGGGCACGUCUGCCUGGGCGUCUC
rnacentral:rRNA from 1 species